CACUUUCUAUCAUGAUAACAUCGCUGCCUGGACACCGCAGGUCGAUGGAGUAGCCUUCGCAGGAGAGCUCCCUCCUCACCAAACCAAACGGCUAUUGGAGACCAGUUGUGACAGCAAAGAGAAAUAGCUGCUAAGUAUGGAAAGUUGGAGCCCUGUGAUAUUUUGAAAGUAAUGAAAAUAAACUUUUCUUAAAAAGUAUGAUGCACUGGAAGAAGCAAGGAAGCAAAUACCUAAAAAAAUCAAGAACAACGCGAGAUAACCCCUUGACAGUAAAUUGAACCAGAGGCUAUCACUUUUUCUAUUGAAUUCUGUGUAUUAAAACUCCUACUAUUAUGCAGAUUAU